AGUUUUAGGAUUGAUUUGAUGAAA
rnacentral:miRNA from 1 species